AUUGAACGCUGGCGGCAGGCCUAACACAUGCAAGUCGAACGAGUGGCGGACGGGUGAGUAAUGUCUGGGAAACUGCCCGAUGGAGGGGGAUAACUACUGGAAACGGUAGCUAAUACCGCAUACCAUCGGAUGUGCCCAGAUGGGAUUAGCUUGUAGGUGAGGGAACGGCUCACCUAGGCGACGAUCCCUAGCUGGUCUGAGAGGAUGACCAGCAACAAGGGAACUGCGACACGUUGCAGACUCCAAGGGGAGGCAGCAGUGGGGAAUAUGGCACAAUGGGAGCAAGCUUGAGGCAGCCAUGCCGCGUGUAUGAAGAAGGCCUUCGGGGUGUAAAGUACUUUCAGCGGGGAGGCGUUACCCGCAGAAGAAGCACCGGAGAACUACGGGCCAGCCGCCGCGUUAAUAC
rnacentral:rRNA from 1 species